CUUAUCAAGAGCGGCGGAGGUACUGGACCUGUGAAGCCCGGCAACCUGAUUGCACAUUUGCGGUAAUGUGCGGAAAAGGUGCCAAUUCCUGCGGAUUUAUCCGGAAGAUGAGG
rnacentral:ncRNA from 1 species